UUCCAUGGCAGCCGUGUGCGGGCAGGCUUCGGUCUGACCGGGUUUCUUGUGCCCCGGAUUCUCACCCUGUUCACGGCUGCCACCCUU
rnacentral:antisense_RNA from 18 species